UGGGGUACAUCUCUGCCAGUGCUCCCUACCCAGUGCAGGGGGUUCCUGCAGUUGCAAGCACAGCUCUCCAAGCUGGUGAACCUUGUCCUGGAGCAGAGCUUCAGCUCUAGCAACCCAUGAAGUGCCCUCUGGCAAUGGUUGCCACUGUUUGAUUCCUUUCAUUUACAGGAUCUUUCGCUCUCAUGUUAAUAAAUGCAGCUCCCGGUGCUGAGCAGGAUGGAUUCUGAUGCUCCAGUCUGCAAAACCAACAGGGUCUCACAGAGUCAGCAUUGUGGAUCCUGGAAAAACAAGGAUAGUUUUAUUUGAUGGGCAUUAAUAAGGUUUAUUUCUGCACAGAUUUAACCCAGAGAUUGUCAUGAUCAUCUCAGGUCCCACGUGGCUUACAGGAUUGAACUUGAAGAAGCAUCAUUCAACAGCCGCUGGUGAUGGAGUGAUUCCAGGCCUGGGACUGCCUCCAGCCAACUGACUUCCCUUCCAUGGCACCAGAUUUGCAUUCAUUAAACCCAGAGUUUUAAUGAUUUAUGGAGAUUAAUACAAAAAUAGCGGCCCAGAGGUUCUGAUGCUCCCAAAGCUUCUGCAAGAGGUACAACACAUCAUAAAUCCACCCCCACGUGAAACACUGAAUGAAAAUCAUUGUGGAAGAGCUGCAAGUGUUAACAUGAGCCAUAAAAUCAGGGGUUUGGUCAAACUAAAAGGAUCAGAGCCUCCUAAGCCUGAGGAGAUAGAAACCCAUGUAAGAACAAUAUUAUAAUUACUAUAAUGUUAAUAAUAUGAUUACCACUGUUAGUUACUAUCACUGCCCUGAUAAUUCUCAGCUGUAAUGAUGGAUGGGGCAGAGAUGGCCCAGGAUAGAGAUGGCCCCAUCCUUUCAGAAACAACCUCUGUGCCACUACCAAGCCCCAGCCAAGCCAAAACCUUGUUCCUUUCAAUUCUGAAAGAGAAGCCACCAGCAGCAUCAGCUGCUGACAGAGCUCUGUAUCCAGACUGGCUGAGCUUGGUAGGUGAAGGAGCAAAAGGACAUGGUCUUGAGAUGAGAGACUGGCAGAGGUGAGGAAGAUUGAGGCCAGAUGCUGUCAAGGAAAACUGAUGUGCAUCUCCAGCAGUGCAGGGGACCGGGCUGUGUCUGUUCAUCUCCCCCCCAUCUCCCCUGGAGGUGCCUGUGGCUCACAGCAGGACAAGGACUACACUGGUGAGCACUUCUCCAAUUCUUCUGCAAUACGUUUCUCCCUUUCUUCCCAUUGCACCCUUCUCUUUUGCAGGUUUGCAGAGCCAGGAGAGGAACCGAGUGAGGCCCGACUUGAGUUCAUGCCAAGCCCCCAGUACCCUUGUGCUUAGGUCCCUGCCACCCUGCCCAUGUUCCCCUCUGUGCUCCCCAAACCUUGCCCGUCCUUUCCACCCCCUGCCUCCCCCAGCUUUCAUUGCAUCAUGCACGCUUCAUGCCUUUCUAUAGCUUUGGCAAAUGAAUGCAAAUGAAUUCCAGCUUCUCCUAUCCCUUAAAAUAGCUGCAAACAUCCAGGAUAAGCCUGGUCGGGGGAAGAUGCUGGGUUCUGGAGGAGCCACUCCUGCAGCAAGGUGUGCAUUGGCUCAUGCUGAGCCCCGGGGGCUUUAAAACUGGAGUUUAAAACAGCCUUGCCCCUGGGACAGACUCCUUUCAUUUACAAGUGAAUCAGCAGGGAUGGCAGGACUGAUUUGCCAUAUGCUGCCCAGCAUCUUCUAAAGAUUUCUGUAGGAGACAGAUUUCUUUCAGGUAACCACUAUCUUUUCUUGCUGCACUUUUCCCCUUGGACACAUUAUCAGUUACUAUUAGCUCGUGCAAAUCCAUAGGACAAGCUCCAUAUCUUUACAUCUCCCUCACCCAAGAGGAUGAGACAAAAAAAGUCACCAAAACUGAUGCAAAAGAAUCACUGUGCGCCUCUGAGGACAACCUCACCAAAGGCAGGAUGGACCAAAACGUAUUUGGAGAAGCGAGCAUAACUGAGGAGGAGGGAUGCAUCACCCUGAAGCUGGACACAUUGAUGAAUGCAGCUCGGCAUGGUUGAACAGGAAAUGUGGGGGGGUUCCCAGCUCAGAUGCUUCUGACGCACUGCUUCACCUUUGCCCAUUUAUUGUCCUUUCCACCCUGUUUAUUUAAAAUAGAAACACUUUGAAACAGGGCCUUACUCAUCAGUGGUGCUACAGCACCAGCCAAAAUAAUGCCCCAAACUUCAGCAUACAGGAAAAGAUUUAUCAUAAUAAAGUCACCUCAGUGUGUGUUCAUGGAGCAAAUGCUUCCUGCUUUUCCUGACCAUAGGAUGUCACAAAGAGCUCCUACACUUAAUUUUGCUUUAAAAACUUACUCAACAGCUCCCAGUUUAGCACAGUAAGUGAAAGCAAAACCUACCAGGAGCCCGUCCAACUGCAAAGGGCACAGCAAGGAUGGGACAAAAAGGCAGCACCUUCCAGCAGCAGCCUGGAACCACAGCCUGGGAUGCUCCUGCCCCUGCUCUCAAGUCCCUGUGGGUCCCUGAGCUCUGAAGCAGCUGUGGGAAUGACGCAGCACCACUGGCUCUGCACCAAGCAGGGAUGAGCACCGUGGGGCUUGGCUGGAGACCUCUG